GACGAACGCUGGCGGCGUGCCUAAUACACGCAAGUCGAGCGAAUGGAUUAAGAGCUUGCUCUUAUGAAGUUAGCGGCGGACGGGUGAGUAACACGUGGGUAACCUGCCCAUAAGACUGGGAUAACUCCGGGAAACCGGGGCUAAUACCGGAUAAUAUUUUGAACUGCAUGGUUCAAAAUUGAAAGGCGGCUUCGGCUGUCACUUAUGGAUGGACCCGCGUCGCAUUAGCUAGUUGGUGAGGUAACGGCUCACCAAGGCAACGAUGCGUAGCCGACCGGAGAGGGUGAUCGGCGACACUGGGACUGAGACACGGCCCAGACUCCUACGGGAGGCAGCAGUAGGGAAUCUUCCGCAAUGGACGAAAGUCUGACGGAGCAACGCCGCGUGAGUGAUGAAGGCUUUCGGGUCGUAAAACUCUGUUGUUAGGGAAGAACAAGUGCUAGUUGAAUAAGCUGGCACCUUGACGGUACCUAACCAGAAAGCCACGGCUAACUACGUGCCAGCAGCCGCCGUAA
rnacentral:rRNA from 1 species